GACAAAUAGCUCAGCUGGUUAGAGCGUGGGGCCGAUAAUGCCAAGGUUGGAGGUUCGAUCCUCGCACGGGACAACU